GUCUACGGCCAUGCUACCCUGAACAAGCCUAAUCCUGUAUGAUCUCGGAAUCUCAGCAGGGUCAGGCCUGGUUAGUACUUGGAUGGAAGACCACGUAGGAAGACCAGGUGCUGUAGGCA
rnacentral:rRNA from 1 species